AGGAGCUGCUUGAUCUACAGCAGAGUCCAACCUGUCGACUGGAGACUCUGAGGUGGAGGUGGGAUUACUGAGUGGAGCUGAGUGUGAAGAGGACAGUGUGUGUGGACGGAGGCUGAGCUGUGUCCUGAGGAUCCAGAGGCUGAAGCAGCAGCAGCUUGUGUGUAGAGCGGCUCUGACUAGGCCUGGCUGCUGGGAGGCAGAGUGGAAACAGAGAUCCAGAGGAAUCAUCAGGAGGUUGUUGUAAUAUGUAACUUCACCACUAGAUGGCCCUCCACACCGAUUGUCUUUAUUCACAUGAAGAAUGUGUUUAUUGAAAUGAAAAAACACAAGCAGAAUAUAUAAACCCUCUGUAAAGAGUCACAAAUAUGUGUUUAAGUUUGUCUUUAUUCUGUUCCACCUUUGUUCCUCAGUAUGUCUCAGUAUGUGUGUAGAACCACAUUCUGUGUAUAUGUUUGUUUAUGAUCUUAAAGUUCCUGGAUUCACGUCACAAAUUGAUUUAGUUCAACACAAAGUUAAACACAAUCAAAUCACUUUGAGUUUAAAAUCAGAGUUUUGUCUUUGACACAAAAGAUCAAAACUCUGGACUUAAAAAUGGGACGUUUUCAUUUCUGCAUCAGGUGCAGAGCCGUGGUGAUUUUUCUACUUUUUGACCCACAGGUGGCGCUGUAGUAUAACAACAGCACAUCCCAGUCAAAGCCUUUAUAUUCAGUCUGAGUCAAACACAUGGAUAAUUUCCUCUGUGACAAACCACAAAAAAAAUAUAUAACAAUUUACUAGCCCUUAAAUGGCACUUACUUAUAGCACUUUCUACUUUUGCUUUAUUUUUGAAGAAAUUGUACUUUCUUGAUUCUUGCUGUUAAGGGUUUGUAUCCCCGGGGUUGAAUGCACUUAUUGUAAGUCGCUUUGGAUAACAGCGUUAGCUUAAAUGAAAUGUAAUUUAACAAGAAUAAAAACAUCUCAGAGAGAAAAGUUCUGUUUCUACUUGUCUCUGCUUUAAUGCUCAAUAAACAUCCUUCCACCGACUUCA